UACGAACUGUGCGAACGUUAUUCGGAAUCACUGGGCUUACAGGGUGCGUAGGCGGCCUAGCAAGUCAGGUGUGAAAGCCCCCGGCUCAACCGGGGAACUGCGCUUGAAACUGCUGAGCUCGAGUCAGCUAGAGGUACACGGAACUUCCAGUGGAGCGGUGAAAUGUGUUGAUAUUGGAAGGAACACCGGAGGCGAAAGCGGUGUACUGGGGCUGGUCUGACGCUGAGGCACGAAAGCCAGGGGAGCGAACGGG
rnacentral:rRNA from 1 species